GAUGAAUGCUGGCGGCGUGCCUAAUACAUGCAAGUCGAGCGAACGGACGAGAAGCUUGCUUCUCUGAUGUUAGCGGCGGACGGGUGAGUAACACGUGGAUAACCUACCUAUAAGACUGGGAUAACUUCGGGAAACCGGAGCUAAUACCGGAUGAUAUUUUGAACCGCAUGGUUCAAAAGUGAAAGACGGUCUUGCUGUCACUUAUAGAUGGAUCCGCGCUGCAUUAGCUAGUUGGUAAGGUAACGGCUUACCAAGGCAACGAUGCAUAGCCGACCUGAGAGGGUGAUCGGCCACACUGGAACUGAGACACGGUCCAGACUCCUACGGGAGGCAGCAGUAGGGAAUCUUCCGCAAUGGGCGAAAGCCUGACGGAGCAACGCCGCGUGAGUGAUGAAGGUCUUCGGAUCGUAAAACUCUGUUAUUAGGGAAGAACAUAUGUGUAAGUAACUGUGCACAUCUUGACGGUACCUAAUCAGAAAGCCACGGCUAACUACGUG
rnacentral:rRNA from 1 species